GACGAACGCUGGCGGCGUGCCUAAUACAUGCAAGUAGAACGCUGAAGAGAGGAGCUUGCUCUUCUUGGAUGAGUUGCGAACGGGUGAGUAACGCGUAGGUAACCUGCCUUGUAGCGGGGGAUAACUAUUGGAAACGAUAGCUAAUACCGCAUAACAAUGGAUGACACAUGUCAUUUAUUUGAAAGGGGCAAUUGCUCCACUACAAGAUGGACCUGCGUUGUAUUAGCUAGUAGGUGAGGUAACGGCUCACCUAGGCGACGAUACAUAGCCGACCUGAGAGGGUGAUCGGCCACACUGGGACUGAGACACGGCCCAGACUCCUACGGGAGGCAGCAGUAGGGAAUCUUCGGCAAUGGGGGCAACCCUGACCGAGCAACGCCGCGUGAGUGAAGAAGGUUUUCGGAUCGUAAAGCUCUGUUGUAAGUCAAGAACGAGUGUGAGAGUGGAAAGUUCACACUGUGACGGUAGCUUACCAGAAAGGGACGGCUAACUACGUGCCAGCAGCCGCGGUAAUACGUAGGUCCCGAGCGUUGUCCGGAUUUAUUGGGCGUAAAGCGAGCGCAGGCGGUUUGAUAAGUCUGAAGUUAAAGGCUGUGGCUCAACCAUAGUUCGCUUUGGAAACUGUCAAACUUGAGUGCAGAAGGGGAGAGUGGAAUUCCAUGUGUAGCAGUGAAAUGCGUAGAUAUAUGGAGGAACACCGGUGGCGAAAGCGGCUCUCUGGUCUGUAACUGACGCUGAGGCUCGAAAGCGUGGGGAGCGAACAGGAUUAGAUACCCUGGUAGUCCACGCCGUAAACGAUGAGUGCUAGGUGUUGGAUCCUUUCCGGGAUUCAGUGCCGCAGCUGACGCAUUAAGCACUCCGCCUGGGGAGUACGACCGCAAGGUUGAAACUCAAAGGAAUUGACGGGGGCCCGCACAAGCGGUGGAGCAUGUGGUUUAAUUCGAAGCAACGCGAAGAACCUUACCAGGUCUUGACAUCCCGAUGCUAUUUCUAGAGAUAGAAAGUUACUUCGGUACAUCGGUGACAGGUGGUGCAUGGUUGUCGUCAGCUCGUGUCGUGAGAUGUUGGGUUAAGUCCCGCAACGAGCGCAACCCCUAUUGUUAGUUGCCAUCAUUCAGUUGGGCACUCUAGCGAGACUGCCGGUAAUAAACCGGAGGAAGGUGGGGAUGACGUCAAAUCAUCAUGCCCCUUAUGACCUGGGCUACACACGUGCUACAAUGGUUGGUACAACGAGUUGCGAGUCGGUGACGGCAAGCUAAUCUCUUAAAGCCAACCUCAGUUCGGAUUGUAGGCUGCAACUCGCCUACAUGAAGUCGGAAUCGCUAGUAAUCGCGGAUCAGCACGCCGCGGUGAAUACGUUCCCGGGCCU
rnacentral:rRNA from 1 species